CUAGAAAUCAAUUGUGUGCUGAUCAAAAAUUGAUUGUAUGUUAACUGCGUUUCACCAAAAGAAUGCCAAUAGACACAAAAUCUAUAAAACAUCGUCUUAAAGCGAAGACAAUUUCUAUAAAAGUAACAUUUUCUCAGAAAACGUCAGGCAAAGUGAUUUUCUAACAGGAUUCCUUAUAUGUUACAACAUGUCACCAUACUUUAAAAGUGCACUUUUUUUUACAUGACAUUUUCCUUGUUAUGCUCCUCAUUAGUAAGAAUGCUACAUUUAAUCAAUCCUUUAAACUUGUGAUCGAACGGGAACAACAUCGGAUUUUGAGUAUUUAUAAAAAAGGUAAAAAAUAUGGACUGCGUAGCUCUACUGUGGCUUACUAUCGCCCUCCUGAUGUCGGUGGUCAGGGUCUCUGAAGGCUCUGUGUGGAAGUGCUGCGGGAGGUGUCGGUGGCUGGGCCAGGAGUGCAUCCGGUUCGGCAAGCAAAGCUGUCGUUGUCGGGGUAAGAUGGCGAUCAUGGCUGACAGCGGAUAUCCGGUGCAUGGGAACGAAGAUACCCGUAUUCAAGAUGUGCACCAAAAUAACACGCACGACAGUGUGUUAUUGAAAGAAAAACUAUGAUUAAUUUGAGUCCCCAUGGCUUUAUUCGGGAGACAGGACAUUUAUUCUACCAAUGAAGAUAAUACAGUUCCCUGACACAAACAAUUGAGCAUUGUGAAGAUAAAAAACUACAAUAACAACAACAACUGCAGCAACAACAACAGCAACAGUAAAAUAAUGAACAGUUUUAAUAAUGACAAUUUUAUAUAGUCUUUAGGCAUUAUAAAUGAUACCUAAACAUGUUAUACUCUUAAGUCUUAAAAAACUUUAUUCUGUUAAAUCUAGUACCUUUAUAAAUUAGCAGUGUUAUGUAUAUUUGACAUCAAAGACUUUUAAUAUACCAAUAGUAACUUUUUCAAUGAUUGCCACGACAUUAUUUUUAACUGCAGUAAUAAGAAAUAUUAUCAUGAAUAAACAACUGACUACACUGUUGAAUAAAAAACUAACAUAA